CGCGGUCUGCUUUGUCGAUCACCGCGGGAAACGUAUACUUUCCACGCGAUCGAGUCCCGAGGAGUCGCGCGACUCUCCCAGCGCCUUUCAGUUCGAUUGCCACAGCUCAGCCGUGUGAGCAGCGAUCGUCACGGAAUUUCGUUCGGUGGCCAAUCGGCGAAGCUAUCGAUCAGAUCGAGGAGAAUCGUUUGAUCGUGGAUAAAUCGAGGUUUGGCGAGCAGGUGCGACGAAAGUUCGAAGGCAGUAGGGUACAGUAAAACCGUGUACCAUUGUUUUUCUUUAACGCAUGAUGCUCGACAAAUUUCAGAGCAAGCUACAUCUCGUCCUCCGUGGAGGCAGAGUUAAAAAUUUCGGCUCGAAGAGUUUCGAUGUUUCAAUGCGAGUGAAGUGACUGUUUUCACAUGCAGGAAUCCAUUCAGACCCGUGUGAUUAGAUUAAUAUGCUACGGGGCAGAGCAGGAUACAAUGCACUGUGUGUUACGAAUGAGCACGUGUGACGUGUACGAGCGUUGAAGAGGCCGAUGAAUAUUUCAUUUGCGAUUUUUUGUUCUGUUAAUUCAGACAUAUACGUGUUAAAAUGAUUCAAUACGUCGAGAAGUUCCCAAACUAGUAAUUAACAUAAUUUAUAAGACAAACCAA